AGCACCAUCGAGCAUCUACUAUUUUACCCAUGUAUAUAUACGCACAUACAUAUAGAUAUCUAGGUUCAAUAUAAUUAUAUUUUGUUGACAAAUUGGAUUUUACAGGGUAACAAAGCCUUGAAAAUUGUGUUUGUUCUUUUUUUUUCUCUAAAGGCUCAUAUACCGUCUGUCCUAGCGGUAUUUCCAAUAUUGUUUAGGUCGAGGGAAAAUCGAUGGAUGCGGCUUUCUGGUUUCCUUGGUCCAGUAUAGAUUGUGUCUUUAGGGUCUGAGUGUCUAGAUUUAGGAUAUUGAUUUUGAAGUGCGGUAAUAUAUCCUAAUAAUCGUAUCAUGCAAUCUUUGUAAGCAUCGAAGUAGUUUGGUUAUAUGUAAAUGCUUCUUGUCGAGCGACCGACACUGGUACAUUUUCAGUAUUUAAAAAAAAAAUUAAAACCACAGGAAAUACACAGCAAAUUAUAUACAGCACAUCACAGAAUUUAUCUCAUCACAGAAAAAUGUAUCUCAUCACAGAAAAAUACAUAUAAAGCCGCAUCACAUCACAUCAUUUAAAGCAUACAAAUGUAUAUAAGCCGCAUCAUAUAAAGCAUAUAAAGAAUACAAAUGUAUCUCACUUCACGACAUAGAUUACAAAGUGCCAAAAUUUCAUAGAAGCAUACAAAGAAUACAAAUGUAUCUCAUUUCAAGUUUGAAUAUCUAUUGUGGUGAGUGAACCCUAGACACGACUUGUUGCACGCGUUCGUAGAAGUCCCCACUAGGCUUGAUGACCUCAUUGUUUAUGAGAUGGGCGAACUCCCUUUGAAUGUUAUAGACGAUCCAUUUUGGUCGGUGUCCCAUUGUCAUUCGGGGCCGCCAGUGCUCUUCCAUCGCCGUGACUAACCCCUUCCACUC
rnacentral:lncRNA from 1 species